rnacentral:rRNA from 1 species
CCUACGGGUGGCAGCAGUGAGGAAUAUUGGUCAAUGGGCGGGAGCCUGAACCAGCCAAGCCGCGUGAAGGAAGAAGGCGCCAGGCGUCGUAAACUUCUUUUGUCGGGGAACAAAGGGCGCCACGCGUGGCGUUGUGAGUGUACCCGAAGAAAAAGCAUCGGCUAACUCCGUGCCAGCAGCCGCGGUAAUACGGAGGAUGCGAGCGUUAUCCGGAUUUAUUGGGUUUAAAGGGUGCGUAGGCUGUGAGGUAAGUCAGCGGUGAAAUGCCCCCGCUCAACGGGGUGAAGUGCCAUUGAUACUGCCUUGCUGGAAUGCGGAUGCCGUGGGAGGAAUGUGUGGUGUAGCGGUGAAAUGCAUAGAUAUCACACAGAACACCGAUUGCGAAGGCAUCUCACGAAUCCGCGAUUGACGCUGAUGCACGAAAGCGUGGGUAUCAAACAGGAUUAGAUACCCGAGUAGUC